AUUUUUCUAGUAUAAUAGUACAAGUGACUUCCAAUCACUAAGUCUUAGCUUAAUCCUAAGGAAAAAUA
rnacentral:tRNA from 1 species